rnacentral:tRNA from 1 species
CAAGACGUAGCUAUAAACCAAAGCAUUCAGCUUACACCUGAAAGAUAUCUGCCUCUACCAGAUCGUCUUGA